ACUGCACAUUUUUAUAGCUUAGGAGGUAAAGCCAUUACUUGGCUCAUGAACUCCUAAGUGUCGGAGAUGUGCUACAAUAACCUGGCAGGUUUUCGCUGACACCUCGAGGGUCCGUGUGGCUCGAUGAGUGGGGUUUGAUAGUAAAUCUUGUCACAAUU